CUCAGACACUGACCACCGCUGACCAGCAGGGCAGGGAUUAGGGGGUGACAGGAAGUGUGCCCUGCCCUCCUGUGCUUUACAGAUUGGAGCGCCUCUUGCUUUGGCUGGAUGCUGAUGGAGUUGUCCCAAUUUUUUAUUGCUACCGCUGGUUGGAGUGAAGAUGGGCUCUAAUUCUCCAAAUAUGGGUGGAAGUGUGUGCUCAAGUUUCAGUGUGAUCUCCCCACCAGUUUAAACUAAAACCAAGCUCACCUUGCCAAGAUCUGCUGGAAACCCUGCACGUAUGGCGUGUCUUCAGUCAGAGCGACCACUGCCUGGAACACUGCUGCUGACUACGGGUGGGAAGAGUUCUCCAAGUGGCCACACUAGAGAUUGAAGGCUCAGACAGGAAAUAACACAUGCCAUUGCUUCUUCUCACAAAUCAAUGGCAGUAACCGACCACAUGGCCUUACCAACCACAGAGCACCGUCACAUCAUGUAGGUUUUAAUAUAAUACAUUUAUUACUAAAUGUUACUUCUAAAGCCUAGUUCCAGUUGUAUGAAACUCAUAAAAUGACACUGCUUUUUGAAUUA